rnacentral:rRNA from 1 species
CGGCCUUGCCGCACGGUGUCAGGUAUGACACAUGCAGUCGAACGGUAACAGGAAGAAGCUUGCUUCUUUGCUGACGAGUGGCGGACGGGUGAGUAAUGUCUGGGAAACUGCCUGAUGGAGGGGGAUAACUACUGGAAACGGUAGCUAAUACCGCAUAACGUCGCAAGACCAAAGAGGGGGACCUUCGGGCCUCUUGCCAUCGGAUGUGCCCAGAUGAGAUUAGCUAGUAGGUGGGGUAACGGCUCACCUAGGCGACGAUCCCUAGCCGGUCUGAGAGGAUGACCAGCCACACUGGAACUGAGACACGGUCCAGACUCCUACGGGAGGCAGCAGUGGGGAAUAUUGCAGAAUGGGCGCAAGCCUGAUGCAGCCAUGCCGCGUGUAUGAAGAAGGCCUUCGGGUUGUAAAGUACUUUCAGCGGGGAGGAAGGGAGUAAAGUUAAUACCUUUGCUCAUUGACGUUACCCGCAGAAGAAGCACCGGCUAACUCCGUGCCAGCAGCCGCGGUAAUACGGAGGGUGCAAGCGUUAAUCGGAAUUACUGGGCGUAAAGCGCACGCAGGCGGUUUGUUAAGUCAGAUGUGAAAUCCCCGGGCUCAACCUGGGAACUGCAUCUGAUACUGGCAAGCUUGAGUCUCGUAGAGGGGGGUAGAAUUCCAGGUGUAGCGGUGAAAUGCGUAGAGAUCUGGAGGAAUACCGGUGGCGAAGGCGGCCCCCUGGACGAAGACUGACGCUCAGGUGCGAAAGCGUGGGGAGCAAACAGGAUUAGAUACCCUGUAGUCCACGCCGUAAACGAUGUCGACUUGGAGGUUGUGCCCUUGAGGCGUGGCUACCGGAGCUAACGCGUUAAGUCGACCGCCUGGGGAGUACGGCCCGCAAGGUUAAAACUCAAAUGAAUUGACGGAAGGCCGAA